rnacentral:rRNA from 1 species
UACGUAGGUGACACGCGUUGUCCGGAUUUACUGGGCGUAAAGAGCGCGCAGGCGGUCGAUCAAGUCGAGUGUGAAAGCCCCCGGCUCAACUGGGGAGGGUCAUUCGAUACUGAUCGACUCGAAGGCAGGAGAGGGUAGUGGAAUUCCCGGUGUAGUGGUGAAAUGCGUAGAUAUCGGGAGGAACACCAGUGGCGAAGGCGACUACCUGGCCUGUUCUUGACGCUGAGGCGCGAAAGCUAGGGGAGCAAACGGG